AUUGAACGCUGGCGGCAUGCCUUACACAUGCAAGUCGAACGGUAACAGGUCUUCGGAUGCUGACGAGUGGCGAACGGGUGAGUAAUACAUCGGAACGUGCCUAGUAGUGGGGGAUAACUACUCGAAAGAGUGGCUAAUACCGCAUGAGAUCUCCGGAUGAAAGCAGGGGAUCGCAAGACCUUGUGCUACUAGAGCGGCCGAUGGCAGAUUAGGUAGUUGGUGGGAUAAAAGCUUACCAAGCCGACGAUCUGUAGCUGGUCUGAGAGGACGAUCAGCCACACUGGGACUGAGACGCGGCCCAGACUCCUACGGGAGGCAGCAGUGGGGAAUUUUGGACAAUGGGCGCAAGCCUGAUCCAGCAAUGCCGCGUGCAGGAUGAAGGCCUUCGGGUUGUAAACUGCUUUUGUACGGAACGAAAAGCCCCGGGUUAAUACCCUGGGGUCAUGACGGUACCGUAAGAAUAAGCACCGGCUAACUACGUGCCAGCCGCCGCCGUAA
rnacentral:rRNA from 1 species